rnacentral:rRNA from 1 species
GACGAACGCUGGCGGCGUGCCAAAUACAUGCAAGUCGAGCGAGGCUCUUCGGAGUCUAGCGGCGGACGGGUGAGUAACACGUGGGCAACCUGCCUGUAAGACUGGGAUAACACCGGGAAACCGGUGCUAAUACCGGAUAAUCCUUUUCCUCUCAUGAGGCAAAGCUGAAAGUCGGUUUCGGCUGACACUUACAGAUGGGCCCGCGGCGCAUUAGCUAGUUGGCAAGGUAACGGCUCACCAAGGCGACGAUGCGUAGCCGACCUGCGAGGGUGAUCGGCCACACUGGAACUGAGACACGGCCCAGACUCCUACGGGAGGCAGCAGUAGGGAAUCUUCCACAAUGGACGAAAGUCUGAUGGAGCAACGCCGCGUGAGCGAUGAAGGCCUUCGGGUCGUAAAGCUCUGUUGUUAGGGAAGAACAAGUACCGGAGUAACUGCCGGUACCUUGACGGUACCUAACCAGAAAGCCACGGCUAACUACGUGCCAGCAGCCGCCGUAAGAC